UACGUAGGGUGCAAGCGUUGUCCGGAAUUAUUGGGCGUAAAGGGCUCGUAGGCGGUCUGUUGCGUCGGGAGUGAAAACUCAGGGCUUAACCCUGAGCCUGCUUCCGAUACGGGCAGACUAGAGGUAUGCAGGGGAGAACGGAAUUCCUGGUGUAGCGGUGAAAUGCGCAGAUAUCAGGAGGAACACCGGUGGCGAAGGCGGUUCUCUGGGCAUUACCUGACGCUGAGGCGCGAAAGCCAGGGGAGCAAACGGG
rnacentral:rRNA from 1 species